rnacentral:rRNA from 1 species
UACAGAGGGUGCGAGCGUUGUUCGGAAUUACUGGGCGUAAAGGGCGCGUAGGCGGCCUUCUAAGUCGAACGUGAAAUCCCCGGGCUCAACCCGGGAACUGCGUCCGAUACUGGAAGGCUUGAAUCCGGGAGAGGGAUGUGGAAUUCCAGGUGUAGCGGUGAAAUGCGUAGAUAUCUGGAGGAACACCGGUGGCGAAGGCGACAUCCUGGACCGGUAUUGACGCUGGGGCGCGAAAGCCAGGGGAGCAAACGGG